GAAGCACCGGCUAACUCCGUGCCAGCAGCCGCGGUAAUACGGAGGGUGCGAGCGUUAAUCGGAAUUACUGGGCGUAAAGCGCAUGCAGGCGGUUUGUUAAGUCAGAUGUGAAAGACCCGGGGCGUCAACCUCGGAAUUGCAUUUAGUAAACUGGCAAACUAGAGUACUGUAGAGGGGGGGUAGGAAUUUCAGGUGUAGCGGUGAAAAUGCGUAGAGAUCUGAAGGAAUACCGGUGGCGAAGGCGGCCCCCUCGGACAGAUACUGACACUCAGAUGCGAAAGCGUGGGGAGCAAACAGGAUUAGAUACCCUGGUAG
rnacentral:rRNA from 1 species